GACAGAGGUGCCAAGCGUUAGGCGGAAUCACUGGGCUUAAAGCGUGUGUAGGCGGCUCGUUUAGUACCUUGUGAAAUCCCACGGCUCAACCGUGGAACUGCUCGGUAUACUGGCGGGCUUGAGCCAUCUAGGGGCUACCGGAACAAAUGGUGGAGCGGUGAAAUGCGUAGAUAUCAUUUGGAACGCCAAUGGUGAAAAACAGGGUAGCUGGGG
rnacentral:rRNA from 1 species